GACGAACGCGGCGGCGUGCUUAACACAUGCAAGUCGAACGAAGAGCGAUGGAAGCUUGCUCCUAUCAAUCUUAGUGGCGAACGGGUGAGUAACGCGUAAUCAACCUGCCCUUCAGAGGGGGACAACAGUUGGAAACGACUGCUAAUACCGCAUACGAUCUAACCUUGGCAUCGAGGAUGGAUGAAAGGUGGCCUCUAUUUAUAAGCUAUCACUGAAGGAGGGGAUUGCGUCUGAUUAGCUAGUUGGAGGGGUAACGGCCCACCAAGGCGAUGAUCAGUAGCCGGUCUGAGAGGAUGAACGGCCACAUUGGGACUGAGACACGGCCCAGACUCCUACGGGAGGCAGCAGUGGGGAAUCUUCCGCAAUGGACGAAAGUCUGACGGAGCAACGCCGCGUGAGUGAUGACGGCCUUCGGGUUGUAAAGCUCUGUUAAUCGGGACGAAAGGCCUUCUUGCGAAUAGUUAGAAGGAAUGAC
rnacentral:rRNA from 1 species